GGAGAACAAUAAGCCCCUCUGCUUUCCAGAAGCUCAGGCCACAAUAAAGAGCCAUGCGCACAGGGACCACGGCUGUUUGACACGAUCAGGCCACCGAAAAGAUUCUUAAGCCUCUCAACGAUGUCCAUGCAGGGUGACUAGCCUUCUUCUGACACCCACACACCCUGCUCUCUCCCAUCUCAUACCCGCAUUGUCCAAGAACGAGGGCCAUGCCUCUGCCGAGACGUCGAUCCUCCUUCCUGAACCAACCUGCCGCCAAGGAGCGCCCAGGUAGUGCCAACACCAGGGUUGGCACCGCAGGCAUCACCAAUGCCCCCCGGGGCGUCUUUGUGGGGACGGCCCCCACGGGCGUCACCUCCAGCAUGGGCACGCGAGUGUCGCGACGCGCCCUGGGCAUCAGCAGUGUGUUCCUGCAGGGGCUGAGGAGCACGGCCGUGCCUGUGAUGCCCCACGGGGUCGGGACCGGUGGCAGGCAGUACCCCGGGGGUGCCGAGAGCCUCAACAGCUGCCUGAUGGAGUACAGGGACAAGGUGCGCGCCCUGGAGCAGCUCAACCAGCAGCUGGAGGAGCAGAUCAAACACUGCCUGGAUCGUAAGGCGUCCAGCGCCGGAGCCUGGGGCCCCCUCAGACAAGACUGGGAGGAUGUUUACAGACAUGUUAGUGAGUCCAUCCUUGCCAAUGCCAGGCUAAUGCUGCAGACAGAGAAUGUGCAGGCCAACGCUGAGGACUUCAAGGACCGGUAUGAGAAUGAACAGCCAUUCAGGAAGGCGAUGGAGGAGGAGAUCAGUUCUCUGUACAAGGUGAUUGACGACGCCAACCUGACCAAGUCGGACCUGGAGAGCCAGAUGGACAGCAUGAGGGCUGAGCUUCGGGACAUGGCCUGCAACCACGAGGAGGACGUGAGGGUGCUCUACAAGCAGAUGGCAGGUGGCGAGAUGGACGAGCCGGACGCUCCCAUUGAGACCAAUCUGGACCAGAUACUGGCCUACAUUCGCUCCCACUGGGAAAGAGUCAUCGAGAAGAACCGUGCCGAGACCGACGCCUAUCUGGAAUGCAAGCAGGCGGAGAGUGUGGGCAGUAAACUGAGCCGUGAGGAGGAAGAGCUGGAGAGUCUGAAGACAGAGUGUAACGAUGCUGGCUGUAAGAUCCAGAGUCUGCAGGCCCAAACUGAGUCCAUCAGAGCACUGAAGCGAGGUCUGGAGAACUCCCUGAACGACGCCAGGCAUUGGCACGACAUCGAGCUGCAGAACCUGGGAUCCGUCAUUGGCAAGCUGGAGUCGGAGCUGGGUGACGUCCACGGCGACAUCGAACAACAGCGUCGCGACUAUGAGACGUUGCUGAGCAACAAAAUGCGUCUGGAGCUGGAAAUCGGCACCUACCACGGCAUCUUGGACGGGGAGGAGAGCCGCUACCACCCCUCCAUGUGAGUAGGGUUAGGGUAGCUAACUUCAAAAGGUGCACAGGUGCAUCAGAGCCCAAGGGGAAACAAUCUCCCCUUCCUCCCCUUUCAGAGCCCUAUGGCAGCCCAGCCCUCCAAGGCUCCAACACAUCUAGUCCCUAGUGGAAGGACUUUGGACCAUUUGGGGAAUGAAGCUCUCACACCGUUGUUCUCCAAGGUAUCUGUGCAAAGUUUCAUUUUGAAACCAUGUUUUUACUACAGAGUUGAAUAAAAUCGAAACCUCGGCAAGAAA